GACGAACGCUGGCGGCGCGCUUAACACAUGCAAGUCGAACGGAAAGGCCUGCUUUCCCUUGUGGAUUGCGGGUACUCGAGUGGCGAACGGGUGAGUAACACGUGAGUGAUCUGCCCCCAACUUGGGUAUAAGCCUGGGAAACUGGGUCUAAUUCCCGAUAGGACUGCAGGGUGGUGCCUGUGGUGGAAAACGAUUUUCUAGUGGUUGGGGAUGAGCUCGCGGCCUAUCAGCUUGUUGGUGGGGUAAUGGCCUACCAAGGCGGCGACGGGUAGCCGGCCUGGGAGGGUGGACGGCCACAUUGGGACUGAGAUACGGCCCAGACUCCUACGGGAGGCAGCAGUGGGGAAUAUUGCACAAUGGGCGGAAGCCUGAUGCAGCGACGCCGCGUGGGGGAUGACGGCCUUCGAGUUGUAAACUCCUUUCGACCGCGAGGAAGCCACCUGGUUGGAAGGGUGGUGACGGUAGUGGUAGAAGAAGCACCGGCUAACUACGUG
rnacentral:rRNA from 1 species